rnacentral:tRNA from 2 species
GGUGUGAUGUAACGAAUUGGUAAGUUAGCGGACUGUAAAUUCGUGGCCUCAGGCGCUCUAGGUUCAAAUCCUAGUCACACCACCA